UACGUAGGUGGCAAGCAUUGUCCGGAUUUACUGGGUGUAAAGGGCGUGUAGCCGGGCUGACAAGUCAGAUGUGAAAUCCGGGGGCUCAACCCCCGAACUGCAUUUGAAACUGUUGGUCUUGAGUAUCGGAGAGGCAGGCGGAAUUCCUAGUGUAGCGGUGAAAUGCGUAGAUAUUAGGAGGAACACCAGUGGCGAAGGCGGCCUGCUGGACGACAACUGACGGUGAGGCGCGAAAGCGUGGGGAGCAAACAGG
rnacentral:rRNA from 1 species